rnacentral:tRNA from 1 species
AAAUAAGAAGCAUUUUAUGCAUUUAGUUUCGACCUAAAAGAAUGAUUAGUUAAUCCUUAUUUA